CAAGGUUGCGACUGAAAGAUGUUGAAAAUACGGAUAAUUUUUGCGCUGUUUGGGUCGUGUAAAAGUAAUCAAAGCAGUUUUUCAUACCAAAACUUAACAUACUAUAUGUUCGAAAGAUGUAUUUUUUACACUCAUACAACAAACCGUGUUACUUGGGAAAAUAUGGAGAUGCUAGAGCGAGUAAUGGCGCUUAAACCUAGGCCUAUAUGUACACUGAGUGUAUAAGCCAGGGCACUAGACUAAAAACUGUGUCCCAUCCCAAGACGUCGAGGACCCAAGGAG